GGGUGGUGGUGCAUGGCCGUUCUUAGUUGGUGGAGUGAUUUGUCUGGUUAAUUCCGUUAACGAACGAGACCUCAGCCUGCUAACUAGUUACGCGAAUAUUUAUUCGUGGCGAUACUUCUUAGAGGGACUAUUUGUGUUUAAUGAAAGGAAGUUUGAGGCAAUAACAGGUUUGUGAUGCCCUUAGAUGUUUCGGGCCGCCCGCGCGCUACCAUGAUGACCGCAACGAGCUCUACCCCGCUCCGAAAGGUCCGGGUAAACUUGUGAAAGUUCAUCGUGAUGGGGAUAGAUUAUUGCAAUUAUUAAUCUUCAACGAGGAAUUCCUAGUAAGCGUGAUUCAUCAGAUCGCGUUGAUUACGUCCCUGCCCUUUGUACACACCGCCCGUCGCUCCUACCGAUUGAAUGGUCCGGUGAAAUCUUCGGAUUGCUGGUUUUGG
rnacentral:rRNA from 1 species